UCAGUUUUAUCUGUACAGAUGUUGAGUGUAAUGAAGGUACUGAGAGAUUCAGAGACAGACUGAAGCUGGAUCAUCAGACUGGAUCUCUGACCAUCACGAACACC